UACGGGGGGUGCUAGCGUUAUUCGGAAUCAUUGGGCGUAAAGGGCGCGUAGGCGGUCUUUUAAGUCAGAUGUGAAAGCCCUCGGCUUAACCGAGGAAGUGCAUUUGAUACUAAGAGACUUGAGUAUGGGAGAGGGAAGCGGAAGUCCUGGUGUAGCGGUGAAAUGCGUAGAUAUCAGGAGGAACACCGGUGGCGAAGGCGGCUUCCUGGACCAAUACUGACGCUGAGGCGCGAAGGCGUGGGGAGCAAACAGG
rnacentral:rRNA from 1 species